UACAGAGGUCCCGAGCGUUGUUCGGAUUCACUGGGCGUAAAGGGUGCGUAGGUGGCGUGGUAAGUUUGAUGUGAAAGCUCAGGGCUUAACCCUGAAAUGGCAUUGAAUACUACUGUGCUGGAGGUUUGGAGGGGGACUGGAAUUCUUGGGUGUAGCAGUGAAAUGCGUAGAUAUCAAGAGGAACACCAGUGGCGAAGGCGAGUCCCUGGACAACACCUGACACUGAGGCACGAAAGCUAGGGGAGCAAACAGG
rnacentral:rRNA from 1 species